rnacentral:tRNA from 2 species
AAGAGUAUGAUUUAAUUGGUUAAAAUAAGAAGCUUCAACCUUCUGUAUCCGGGAUCGAGACCUGGUACUCUUG